CAGCAGCCGCGGUAAUACAGAGGAGCCAAGCGUUGUCCGGAUUGACUGGGCGUAAAGCGCACGCAGGCGGUCUGGCGCGUGGGGUGUGAAAUCUGGCCGCUUAACGGCCAGGCGCCAUCCCAUACGGCCGGACUGGAGUGAUGCAGAGGUCGGUGGAAUUGCCGGUGUAGUGGUGAAAUGCGUAGAGAUCGGCAGGAACACCCAGGGGGAAACCAGCCGACUGGGCAUCUACUGACGCUGAGGUGCGAGAGCGUGGGGAGCGAACCGGAUUAGAUACCCGGGUAGUCCACGCCGUAAACGAUGGCCACUCGGCCUUUGGGGGCGGAAUCUCCGUUUCUGGGGGCCUUAGCUAACGCGGGAAGUGGCCCGCCUGGGAACUACGAGCGCAAGCUUAAAACUCAAAGGAAUUGACGG
rnacentral:rRNA from 1 species